CCUACGGGAGGCAGCAGUAGGGAAUCUUCCACAAUGGGCGAAAGCCUGAUGGAGCAACGCCGCGUGGGUGAAGAAGGUCUUCGGAUCGUUAAACCCUGUUUUUAGAGAAGUAAGUGCGUGAGAGUAACUGUUCACGUUUCGACGGUAUCUAACCAGAAAGCCACGGUUAACUCCGUCCCAGCAGCGGCGGUAAUACGUAGGUGGCAUGCGUUAUCCGGUUUUGUUGGGCGUAAAGGGAACGCGGGCGGUCUGUUAAGUCUGAUGUGAAAGCCUUCGGCUUAACCGGAGUAGUGCAUUGGAAACUGGGAGACUUGAGUGCAGAAGAGGAGAGUGGAACUCCAGGUGUAGCGGUGAAAUGCGUAGAUAUCUGGAAGAACCCCAGUGGCGAAGGCAGCUCUCUGGUCUGUAACUGACGCUGAGGUUCGAAAGCGUGGGUAGCAAACAGGAUUAGAUACCCCUGUAGUC
rnacentral:rRNA from 1 species